CUUAAAACCCAAAGGACUUGACGGUGUCCCACCCUACUAGAGGAGCCUGUCCUAUAAUUGAUGACCCCCGCUAAACCUUACCAUUUUUUGCUAUCAGCCAGUAUACUUCCGUCGUAAGUUCACCAUAUAAAUGUGCUCAGUGGACUCAAUGGUCACCCCCACCAAUACGUCAGGUCAAGGUGCAGCUUAAGAAAUGGAUUGAGAUGGGCUACAAUUUCUAACUUAGAACAUACGGAAUACUGUAUGAAACACAGCUAUAAAGGCGGAUUUAGAAGUAAAAAGAAAAUAGCGUGUUCUUUUUAAUUAGGCCCUGGGACGUGUACAAACCGCCCGUCGCCCUCUUCGAUUAAUACAACUAUAGUUUAUAACCACACUCCACCACCUUAGAAGAGGUAAGUCGUAACAUGGUAAGCGUACCAAAAGGUGUGCUUGGAUCAA
rnacentral:rRNA from 1 species